rnacentral:lncRNA from 1 species
UCAUCCAUCGACAAUGAAAGGACCACUACAGCCGUAGAGGAGGCCGACGGCUGGCAUAUCACCAACCGCCCACUCGUGCGGUGGCGCGACAAGCUCACAACGCCGAGGGACAGCCCGGCGAGGGACGCAGCACAACGCCGCCGCCGCCGCCCGUCCACGCUAUAUAGUCCCUUUUCUCGAUCUUUGGGCUUUGGGUGCAAUGCGAGGUCAUCGGGCCUUGGGUGCACGGAUGGCGCCUGGGCCAUGGAUCGUCGUGGGAAGGUAUUGGUGAAGAUAAUCCCGACGACAAUGACAGGGACGCUGGUGGCAAGGCGGAGGGGUGAUAUGAGAGCGUGGGGAAGAGAGAACGUCCCGGAAGGAGGAUCAAUGGAGAUAGCGAUCCUGGCUCUCUGUCCUCUCACCUAG